GGACUCAGCAACAUCUCAGCCACAGCAGAUGGGUCUAGCCACAGCUCUGCCACUGAGGUGCCUGCUGUCACUGCAUGAUGCUAGCCUGCCGGGGCUCUGAAUGACACCAGCGCCUGGGAAGACAGCGGCUAAGGCACACAGAAAGAACAAAGCACUUCCGCAGGAGCCUGACUUUCAACCAGGAGUCUGAGAUGCUGAGGAUUGUCCACAUUGCUGCGUGAAUAAAACACGUCCCCUCAGAACGCAGGGUAUGAAAUUCUAGAACAUGAAAAAUGCUGUGCUUUUCAAAUUUUACUUCUUAAAGGCUCAAUUUCUGUGGUGGGAGUUGUGAAGCUGCAAACAAAU
rnacentral:lncRNA from 1 species